CACACAGGUCAUCUACUUUCAUGUUGGCCACCAGCUCAGUAUUAUUUUCCACGGGGGUGGCUGGUGAGCCUUGCCCUGGUUUCUGAGGUCUCAUGUUCACCAGCAGUAAGCCAGGCUGCCUUUUGCCCUGCAGUGUUUUGGUUUUUUUCAAAGAAGAAACCAAGGCAGGUAUUUAGUAAAGGCAGCCAAGAGGCUGAAGUUCAUUCGCAGUGUCAUCUGCCGCCCCCUGCCUCAGCAGCAUCCAAAGUACACGUGAAAAAUAAUCAUCACGGGCCGGGGAUUUGGCUCAGUGGUUUCUCCGCCUGCUGCACAAGCGCAAGGACCCGAGUUCGAUCCCCGGUACCAAAAAAAAAAAAAAAAUUACCAGGGCCCUUCCUCCAACCCCCACCCACCAAAUUAGUGUCUCUGGCAGCAGAGUCAGGAAAGUGCUUUUUUUUUUUGGGUACCAGGGGAUCGAACCCUGGUCCUUGUGCUUGCAAGGCAGGUGGCGAAACCACUGAGCUAAAUCCCCAGCAGGAAAGUGCAUUUCUAUUACACUCCCAGACGGCAGCCACAGGAAUCAGGGCAGGGGGGUCACAGGUGUCAGUCAAACCUCUGAGGUCGAGGUGAGGAGUGGGUGCAACAGGCAGCAGUCAACAUUUGGGUAUAUUUCUUAUCCACUUCAUAAGGCAUUGUUGCCUCUACUACGCACAAAACUCAUGCCAAGAAAUAUUCAGGACAUAUUAAUGGAAACCAUUGUGUUAGAUAGAUGGGGAGGGAGGGAAGGAAGGAAGGGAAAAAUGAGCUCUACUAAUUUUCUGUCUUCUAAAAUAAAGGAGUCAAACAGGAGCCGGAGGGUAUUUUAGUUCUAAUACCUGCAGUUUACAGAGCGGUUGGAUUUUGUCGGGACUACUUCCUAGACUUUCUUAAAAAAAUUUAAUAAAAUCAAAAUGGAUCAAAGACCUAGAUAUUAAAACAUAAACAGUUGAUCUCCUGAAAGAUAAAACAGGUAAAACUCUUGAAGACAUGGGCAUAGGUUCUGAACAGAAUCUCAAUUGCCCAAGAAAUAAGACCAAGAAUCAACAAAUGAGAUUAGAUCAAGAUAAAAAUCUUCAGUACAGCAAAAGAAACAGCCAACAGAGUGAAGAGACAACCUACAGAAUGGAAAAAAAUUUUUUCCAGCUACUCCUUUAGCUCCCCCCCCUUAAAACAUUCAAUCAAAAAAAGGGGGGGGGCAAUUGAAAUGAACAUUUCUCAGAAGAAUAAAUACAAAUGGUCAAUAAAUACAUGAAAAGACACUCAACAUCUCUGACCAUUAGAGAAAUAAAAAUUAAAACAACACUCAGAUUCCAUCUCACUCCACAAAGAAUGGCCAUCAUAAAGAAAUCAGAUGAUAACAAAUGCUAGAGAGUCUGGGGCAGGGGAGGGAUGACCCUUCGUCAGUGUUGGUGGGAAUGUAAACUCGUGCAACCACUACGGAAAUCAGUAUGGGGAGCUUCUUCAAAAACCUGAAACUAGAAAUUCCCCUGGGCCCAGCUAUUCUCUUUCUAGGAGUCUUCCCAAAGAGUUAAAAUCAUCAUAUUACAGUGAUACAUGCACACCCGUCUUUAUAGCAACACAAUUCAUAAUAGCUAAAUCUUGGAAGCAGCCUCUAUGUCCAUCAACAAAUGAAUGGAUAAAGUAAGUGUAAUAUUUACAUGCAAUGGAGUAGUACUCUGCUGUAAAGAAGGAUGUAUUUCUUUCUUUCAAGGAUAAACUUGAGUCAUUUGUAGGAAAAUGGAUGCACCUGGAGACCAUGUUAAGUGAAAUAAAUCAGACACACAAGCUUUCAUACCACAUCGUUUCCCUUAUAUGAAAAACCUAAAAUACAAAUAAUUUAAAGAGCAAAAUAAAGUCUGGAUUAUAGGAAACAGGGAAAUAGAUCUUUUGCAAGUGGGAAGGGGAUCUGGAGACAAAGGGAAGAAGAGGGAAGGGAGGGAAGGAAACUAAUAAGAAUUAAGGUGUGUUAGGGGCAUGUACCAACUCCCUACAAUGAAUAUCGUCAUUAUGUACUGCAAACGUGCAGUGAUAAAAAAUCCAAACACACAAAAAUACCAAAUAAUAGUAAUUUAAUAGAUGCCCAUGUACCAACCCCCAGUAUUGAACACAUUUUAACAUUUUGCAAUAUUUUCUUCAUACUUCUUUAAAGAACUGUCUUUGUAGAUAGAAUUGGAGUCCCAUUCCCACUCCAUUCAUCUGAUUCCCUUCCUCCUCCCCAGGAGUCAUGAUUAUAAAACUGGCAUGUAUCCUUUACCCAUGAUUUCAGAAUGUGUAUUGUUAUUCAAUACUCUUGUACAUUCUACUAACAUGUUUCUCUGAAAAUAAGACCUAGCUGGAAAAUAAUUAGCCUUGAAAACUAGAGACCAAAAAUGCCAGCCCCAUUCAGCCUAUCCUGGCCUUACCUGCCUUGCAGAGUAGCCACUGAGCAAGAGAAUUUAUUUUCAGGGGAAAAGGGUAUAUAUACAUCAUAUGCCUUUUACACUUUUUCACAGUAUCUCCAACUAUAUGUGAACACAUAUGCCUUUACUUUGUUCAUUUUAUCUGAUACAGUGGCUCCUCAGUACUUGAUGUUCAUCAUUAAUUGGUUCCAGGAGGUGCAACUAGCACCAAAAACAACUAGUACCAAACAGAUGUAUUGGCAGAGAGGGUAGUGAGUCAUCAGGCAAGUGAUGCUGAAAAGUUCUGUCUUGUGUGUUGAGUAUGGGUAUGAGUGGUACCAGGAUAAAAUGCAUCCAAUACUGAGUCCAACAAAUUUCAAAACAGUCUAGUAUGAGGGUAUGACUGUAUAUGUAUUCCAGUGUGUUAUGAUUUAUAUCUAGAUGUCCCCCCAAAGCCUCAUGUGCUCAUAGGCAGGCCUUUUGGGAGGUUAUUGGAUCAGGGGGUGCCAUACUCAUGGGUAGAUUGGUCCCCUGAUGAGUUGAUGGCUGAAUAUGAUGUGGGGAGCUGAAGCCUGGCUGGAGGAGGUGGUCACUGGGGGUGUGGCCUGGUAGGGUCUACCUCCCUCCUCCUCCCUUGAUCUCUCUCUGCUUCCCAUUGCCCUGCCAUGGACUGUCUCUCCUCUGCCAUGCCAUCCUGCCUUGGAGCCAGCCGACUAUGGGCUGAAACCUCUAUAAACUGUGAGCCAAAAUAAACCUCUCCUCCUUUAACUUGCGGGUGUCAGGUAUUUUGUUUCAGCAAGGAGAAAGUAACUAAAACACAAUGUAUAACUAUUACCACAAUUUAUUUAGCUACUUCUUGACUGAUUAACAUUUUCCAUUUUCAUUUAUACUGUUUAGAUGAUAAUACAUAGACUUCUGCUUCAGAGCCAUGUUGUGGCAAACCCCAGCCCUGUCAGCCCUGUGCUGUCCUGUUACAUUAGCAUCGUCAGCCAGUUAGGUGGCCACGGGAAGAUUGAGCUACUUGCAGACAAUGUACUAAAGAGGAUGGAGUGACUCUACAGUUCUGCAUUGGAGGAUUCAAAGAAGAUGGAAAUCCAGUAGGAUAGAAAAGAGGCACAUCUUGCACAGGGUCAUAAGGGAAUUCAUGUUUCAUGGUAGAGAUGUUCCUGGCAGGUAGGAUGUAGCUGUAGGAUUAACUGGGGAUCAUUUGCAGAUGAAACUUUUAGACACUUUGGUCCAGGCCUGGUUUCCAUGGCAAACUGUGAAGACUGCUCAGCCCAUAAGCACAACCAGGAGGUAAAAGAGUGAAAAAGUACACUACUUGUAGCUAGUAGAGAAAGCCCUGGGAAUAAUUCCCAAAGCCCUGUCUCCCUGAACAAAGACAGCGAAGGACUUUUAUUGGAGAAAUUAGUGAUAUCACAUAGGAAUGACUCACCAUCCCAUUAGAGGUGGGCAGCCCACCUCUAAUGCUCAUAGGUCAAGCCCAGUGAGAACUCAGUGUGACCACGAGAAAAGUUCAGGUCGCCUAAAAAGAGUGAGUCAGUGACUUGCUGAUCGGAGUUGGUGCCUUGUAAAUUUCUUGGGAGGGCCUUAUGUGAAACAAAACACCAAACAGAACAAAAAAGCCUGCAGGAAGGUUAGCAGUCCUCACCAGGACAUCACAGCAGCUCCCCUUCCUUGCAAAAUCCUAAGUGACAGCUCCAAAACGUGUGUGCUUAUUCGAUCCCCGAACCAAGAGAAAAUGAAAGUGCCUGCUUAGUCACCAGCAGUACCGUGGCACUGACCAAGGUGGAGGUAUUUACUGCUAGCACGACAAGUCAGGGCUGAUUUAUUGUCUUCCUGAUCAACUAGAUUGAGGGCUGACAGACUUGUUCUGUAAAAGGCGGAUGGUAAAUAUUUAAAGGUCCGUGGUUCGUAGUUUCGGGAGUAAUGACCCAACUCUGCCUUUCUAGUGUUAAAGCCACCUCAGGUGAUGGGAGUGACUGUGGCUGUCUCCCAAUAAAGCUUUGUUCCAAAACAGGCUGUGGGCCAGAUUUGGUUUACUGGCCAAAUACUAAUCCAGAAUGAAGGAAGUGACGAAGGAGGCAUAGCUCAUUGACCCUGUGGUACCCAGACUGGGCUCUCUCAAGCCACUCAGAACACUGAAAGCAGGAGAGUGGAGGUGGAGGCCUUGUUUCACGUGGCUUCAUCCAGUCUUUAGUGAGUGUUGGAGUCAGAGAUGGUACGACAGUUCACUGGAUGACAACUCGGCUAGGCCAUGGGAACCACUGUGCCCGGCUGCUCUGUCAAAAACUAGUCCAGUUGUUGCUGUGAGGUAAUUUUUAGACGUGAGAAACUUUUUUUUCUUUUGGUGCUGAGGAUUGAACUCAGGACCUCGUUUGUGCCAAACACAUACCUUACCACUGAGCUACAUCAAGCCACAGACUCACAUCUAAACCAGGAGAGUUGAGUCUGGUAGACUACUCCAUGAUAUGAGUAAACCUCACCUAGUAUGUUGAAGGCCUUCAGAAAAGACUUAAGGCCCCUAAAGAGGAAGGGAUUCUGCCUUCAUACGGCAGCAUAGAAAUCCUGCCUGAGUUUCCAGCCUUUGGCCUUAAGCCUGUGGCUUCAACUUCUGUCUUAAGUUUCCAGCCUGCCUAACAGAUUUCAGACUCGCCAGCCCCCGUGAUGACUGGGCCAAUUCCUUCAAAGCCCUCCCACCCGCCUCUGGCACUCCAUUCACCCUACUGGUCCUGCUUCUCUGGAGAACCCUGACCAACUGACCAAUGUGGAAGGCUUUACGUUUAGGCCAUUGAGUUGGUGGCCUUGAGGUCCUAGCUGUGCCUUCAAAAAGGGACACAAGAGACACAGCCACUAUG
ensembl:lncRNA